rnacentral:lncRNA from 1 species
GUAAUCUCAGCUACUCAGGAGGCUGAGGCAGGAGAAUCGCUUGAACCUGGGAGGCGGAGGUUGCAGUGAGCCAAGAUUGGGCCACUCCACUCCAGCGUGGGCAACAGAGUGAGACCCUGUCUCAAAAAAAAAAAAAAAAAAAAAAAAAGAACUUGGUCCCUUAUCCUAACUCAGAUACUCCUUUCUAUUGACUCCAGGUCUUUAGUUAAACUCUUUCAACCAACUGCCAAUCAGAAAAUCUUUGAAUCCAUCCAUGACCUGGAAUCCCCACCUCCCCUCCCUUCCACCCCACUGCCUUGCUUUCAGUUGUCCCACCUUUCCAGACCAAACCAGUGUAUAUCUUACACGUGUUGGUUGAUGUCUCAUGUUUCCCUAAAAUGUAUAAAAGCAAGCUGUGCCCCAAUGACCUUGGGCAUGUGUUCCCAGGAUCUCUUGGGGUUGUGUUAUGGGUCAUGGUCACUCGUAUUUGGCUCAGAAUAAAUCUCUUCAAAUAUUUUACAGAGUUUGACUCUUUUGGUUGACCAACCAGCUAUAAAUCGGGGGGUUUGCAUGCCUCCCUCAUAAUGUUCGAUAAUUUUCUAGAACAGCUCACAGAACUCAGGAAGACACUUUACUUAUGUUUACCAGUUUAAUAUAAAGGGUACAAGGGAACAGAUGAAG